rnacentral:rRNA from 1 species
AUGAGUAGGGCGGGACACGUGAUAUCCUGUCUGAAGAUGGGGGGACCAUCCUCCAAGGCUAAAUACUCCUGACUGACCGAUAGUGAACCAGUACCGUGAGGGAAAGGCGAAAAGAACCCCGGCGAGGGGAGUGAAACAGAACCUGAAACCGUGUACGUACAAGCAGUGGGAGCCUUCGUAAGAGGGUGACUGCGUACCUUUUGUAUAAUGGGUCAGCGACUUAUAUUCUGUAGCAAGGUUAACCGUAUAGGGGAGCCGAAGGGAAACCGAGUCUUAAUUGGGCGUUAAGUUGCAGGGUAUAGACCCGAAACCCGGUGAUCUAGCCAUGGGCAGGUUGAAGGUUGGGUAACACUAACUGGAGGACCGAACCGACUAAUGUUGAAAAAUUAGCGGAUGACCUGUGGCUGGGGGUGAAAGGCCAAUCAAACCGGGAGAUAGCUGGUUCUCCCCGAAAGCUAUUUAGGUAGCGCCUCGUGAACUCAUCUCCGGGGGUAGAGCACUGUUUCGGCUAGGGGGCCAUCCCGGCUUACCAACCCGAUGCAAACUGCGAAUACCGGAGAAUGUUAUCACGGGAGACACACGGCGGGUGCUAACGUCCGUCGUGAAGAGGGAAACAACCCAGACCGCCAGCUAAGGUCCCAAAGUCAUGGUUAAGUGGGAAACGAUGUGGGAAGGCCCAGACAGCCAGGAUGUUGGCUUAGAAGCAGCCAUCAUUUAAAGAAAGCGUAAUAGCUCACUGGUCGAGUCGGCCUGCGCGGAAGAUGUAACGGGGCUAAACCAUGCACCGAAGCUGCGGCAGCGACACUAUGUGUUGUUGGGUAGGGGAGCGUUCUGUAAGCCUGCGAAGGUGUGCUGUGAGGCAUGCUGGAGGUAUCAGAAGUGCGAAUGCUGACAUAAGUAACGAUAAAGCGGGUGAAAAGCCCGCUCGCCGGAAGACCAAGGGUUCCUGUCCAACGUUAAUCGGGGCAGGGUGAGUCGACCCCUAAGGCGAGGCCGAAAGGCGUAGUCGAUGGGAAACAGGUUAAUAUUCCUGUACUUGGUGUUACUGCGAAGGGGGGACGGAGAAGGCUAUGUCGGCCGGGCGACGGUUGUCCCGGUUUAAGCGUGUAGGCUGACUUUCCAGGCAAAUCCGGAAGGUUAAGGCUGAGGCGUGAUGACGAGGCACUACGGUGCUGAAGUGACAAAUGCCCUGCUUCCAGGAAAAGCCUCUAAGCAUCAGGUAACAUCAAAUCGUACCCCAAACCGACACAGGUGGUCAGGUAGAGAAUACCAAGGCGCUUGAGAGAACUCGGGUGAAGGAACUAGGCAAAAUGGUGCCGUAACUUCGGGAGAAGGCACGCUGACAUGUAGGUGAAGCCCCUGCGGGUGGAGCUGAAGUCAGUCGAAGAUACCAGCUGGCUGCAACUGUUUAUUAAAAACACAGCACUGUGCAAACACGAAAGUGGACGUAUACGGUGUGACGCCUGCCCGGUGCCGGAAGGUUAAUUGAUGGGGUUAUCGCAAGAGAAGCUCCUGAUCGAAGCCCCGGUAAACGGCGGCCGUAACUAUAACGGUCCUAAGGUAGCGAAAUUCCUUGUCGGGUAAGUUCCGACCUGCACGAAUGGCGUAAUGAUGGCCAGGCUGUCUCCACCCGAGACUCAGUGAAAUUGAACUCGCUGUGAAGAUGCAGUGUACCCGCGGCAAGACGGAAAGACCCCGUGAACCUUUACUACAGCUUGACACUGAACAUUGAGCCUUGAUGUGUAGGAUAGGUGGGAGGCUUUGAAGCGUGGACGCCAGUCUGCGUGGAGCCAACCUUGAAAUACCACCCUUUAAUGU